GAUGAACGCUGGCGGCGUGCUUAACACAUGCAAGUCGAACGGAAAGGCUCCUGCUUGCAGGGGUACUCGAGUGGCGAACGGGUGAGUAACACGUGGGUGAUCUGCCCUGCACUUCGGGAUAAGCCUGGGAAACUGGGUCUAAUACCGGAUAGGACCACAUUUUGGAUGGUGUGGUGGAAAGUUUUUCGGUGUGGGAUGAGCUCGCGGCCUAUCAGCUUGUUGGUGGGGUAAUGGCCUACCAAGGCGUCGACGGGUAGCCGGCCUGAGAGGGUGUACGGCCACAAUGGGACUGCGAGACGGCCCAGACUCCUACGGGAGGCAGCAGUGGGGAAUAUUGCACAAUGGGGGCAAGCCUGAUGCAGCGACGUCGCGUGGGGGAUGACGGCCUUCGGGUUGUAAACUCCUUUCGCUAGGGACGAAGCGCAAGUGACGGUACCUGGAGAAGAAGCACCGGCUAACUACGUG
rnacentral:rRNA from 1 species